rnacentral:rRNA from 1 species
GACGAACGCUGGCGGCGUGCUUAACACAUGCAAGUCGAACGGUGAAGCGCCUUCCUUUUUGGUGGGUGUGGAUGAGUGGCGAACGGGUGAGUAACACGUGAGUAACCUGCCCCCUUCUUCUGGAUAACCGCAUGAAAGUGUGGCUAAUACGGGAUAUUCUGGGUCUGUCGCAUGAUGGGUCUGGGAAAGAUAUUGUUUCGGUGGGGGAUGGGCUCGCGGUCUAUCAGCUUGUUGGUGGGGUGAUGGCCUACCAAGGCGGUGACGGGUAGCCGGCCUGAGAGGGUGGACGGUCACACUGGGACUGAGACACGGCCCAGACUCCUACGGGAGGCAGCAGUGGGGAAUAGUGCACAAUGGGCGCAAGCCUGAUGCAGCGACGCCGCGUGAGGGAUGGAGGCCUUCGGGUUGUGAACCUCUUUCGCCAGUGAAGCAGGCCUGCCUCGUUUGUGGGUGGGUUGACGGUAGCUGGAUAAGAAGCGCCGGCUAACUACGUG